rnacentral:misc_RNA from 1 species
AAGUCAUGAAUGCUUCUACCCGCUGCCACAUAGAACAAUCAUAUUUGAAUAUACCAGUAAAUCUCAUGAAAGUGACAUGUAAUAUCAAAUAUCUCCUGAACUAGUUGUAUAACUAAGGGCACGGGAUGUCUAGCUUAGUUGAUAAUUCUCAUGGUAUUGUGUUCAACCAACAAAGAUCACAUCUUGAAAGGACCUAGGAUAAAACCAUGGUACAACUAUUUUCUCAUAGGAAAACAAACUAAAAUCUGCGGCUUGGUCUAAAAUGGAAGUUUUGGGAGAGAGUAUAUUACAGUAUCUCCACUUCACGAAUUUUUAUUGAUCACUGUUCCCAUGCUGCAUCCUCUAAUAUUCUAUUUUUUUCUAGAGUCUAUCCACAGAAUCUAGAAUAGAGGUGGCAAUUCGAGCUGGUGGAUAUGCAAACACGAACACAAUUAUGGUCAACACAAUAAUGAAUCAUGUCGAAAUCUAAACACGAACACGACCCUUUUAUUAUACAGGUUACACAAUAUGAAACGAUUAAUAUUAAAUCUUAUUGGGUUAAUUCAAUACGACAUAACACAUUUAACACGAUUUGACAGUUGACACGACCCAACAUGUUUCAACACUUUUAAUUUUUAUAAAAUA